GACAGAGGGUGCAAACGUUGCUCGGAAUCAUUGGGCGUAAAGGGCGCGUAGGCGGAUGGCACAGUCAGAUGUGAAAUUCCCGGGCUUAACCUGGGGGCUGCAUUUGAUACGUGUUGUCUAGAGUGAGGAAGAGGGUUGUGGAAUUCCCAGUGUAGAGGUGAAAUUCGUAGAUAUUGGGAAGAACACCGGUGGCGAAGGCGGCAACCUGGUCCUUGACUGACGCUGAGGCGCGAAAGCGUGGGGAUCAAACAGG
rnacentral:rRNA from 1 species